rnacentral:rRNA from 1 species
AUGGCCAUUGACUUGAACAUAGCACCAGGAGAGGGAGAAGUUGAACAUGUGCCUCCCUUGCAUGAAGAAUUGCUCCAGGUUGGUCAUCAAAUCGAUUUGAACCUGAACCCAGAGGACGAACUUGAGGUUGCCUUGCAUGAAGAACUGCUCCAGGUUGGUCGUCAAAUCGAUCUGAACAUGAGCCCAGAGGACGAACUUGAGGCUGCCUUGCAUGAAGAACCCCAUGUCGGUCUUCAUGUAGAAGAUGAACAUGAGCCCGACAUUGCCCAUGGAGAAGAGGAACAUGAGGCCAAUGUUGCCCAUGGAGAAGAGAACCUGCAUGAAUCAGAUGAAUCGGACCAUGAACUUGAAGAACAAGGCGGUGUUUUCCAGAGCAUGGAAGAGGAAGUGCAAGCAAUGGAUGAAGCUCUAAAUAACCUUCAAGUUGACGAGGAAGACUAUGGUGUGUAUGCAGGCGAUAUAGAGAUUCAGUUUGAGGAAGAAGAGCUUGAUGAUUCAGCAGAUGAAGCCAUGUAUGAUUCAGCACCAGAAGAAGACAUGUAUGUGGAGCAAGAGCAACAAGAUAAUGAGCAAGUUCAUCAUGAAGACAAAUACAAGAAUUUAACAGAUUUGCAAAGGACUGGUAUUUAUGAAGAGUUGCUAGCAAGAAGUGUCAAUCGGAAAUUAAAGAAGACCACAACCAGAGAAGUUGCAAACAUGUUCCAUGUUUCGGUGCAGAAGGUCAGACGUGUUUGGAGGAGAGUGAAGGAGUGCCAUCGACAAGGCGUACCCGUUGAUGUAAGAUCAAGGAAGCCGAAAAACUGUGGGCGCAAAAGGAUUGUAGUUGACCUCAGUAUGGUUCCCGAGAUUUUCCGUCAUCUAGUAUCCAUGGCCAGAGUAAUUUUCAUAUGA